rnacentral:rRNA from 1 species
UAGGGAAUUGUUCGCAAUGGGCGCAAGCCUGACGACGCAACGCCGCGUGGAGGAUGAAGACCUUCGGGUCGUAAACUCCUUUCGACCGAGAUGAAAAACCACCGGCCUAAUACGUUGGUGGACUGACAGUAUAGAGGGAAGAAGCCCCGGCUAACUCCGUGCCAGCAGCCGCGGUAAUACGGGGGGGGCAAGCGUUGUUCGGAAUUACUGGGCGUAAAGGGUUCGUAAGUGGCCAACUAAGUCAGACAUGAAAUCCCUCAGCUUAACUGGGGAACUGCGUCUGAGACUGGAUGGCUUGAGUGCAGGAGAGGAACGCGGAAUUCCAGGUGUAGCGGUGAAAUGCGUAGAUAUCUGGAGGAACACCGGUGGCGAAGGCGGCGUUCUGGACUGCAACUGACACUGAUGAACGAAAGCCAGGGGAGCAAA